GAAACAUUGUGUGUAUACUGUACACAAGUGUAGUACAACAAAUGUAUUGGUGCCCUUGUUUGCUAACUUGGCACUGAACGAGCAUCAAGAAGUGUUGGGGUGUUACUGAAAUUCACUGCUCUGUUACUAUCUCUGUAGCAGGGCCGGCCAGAAAUUCUGCACAUGUGCGGUGCUCCUGCACAUGUGCAACUUCCGGGUCACAGUGUGAACGUCGCAGCCGUCAGCGUCGUGUAGCGCCUGUUUCUACGCACAGAUGUCGCUUUAUCCACUUGCUUGGAUACUCUGUACUGGCACAUUCUAGUGCUCUUUCCACAGCUUGCAAGCCAACCAUGGGAAGGUAUUUCACGUAUUAAACAUUAUAAUACUGUCACAGUCUACUCAUUGAACCGUCUUUUAUGUUAACAGUUUAACCCAGUAAGACAAGUAAUACAGUUAAUAACCGUGAGUUUUUAUUAAGGCAUGAGUGAUAUGAAACCGAACUCAUACUGAAGUGACAUCCUGAAAGUCAUGCCAGAUGGACAGAUGGAGUGAUUAUUGACUUACGAAAGGCAAUUGACUCACUACCAAAUCUGAAAGGUAAUUGACUCAGUACCACACAUUUGCAUGUCGUCAAAAGUACGAUCAUAUGGGGUAUCAAGCAAGAUUUGUGACUAAAUUCGGGAUUUCUUGGUUGGGAGGACACAAUGUUUAUCUCUGAUGGAGAGUCAUCGACAAAUGCAGAAAGUAAGUUUUGUGUGCCCCAGGGAAUUGUCUUCAGAGCCUUGCUAUUCGUGUUGUGUACUAAUUACCUAGCAGACAAUAUAAAUUGUAACCUCAGGCUUUUCUUAGAUGAUGCAGUUAUCUAGAAUGAAUUGCUGUCUGACAAAAGCCACAAAAAUACUCAGUCAUUUAUUGAUAAGAUUUCUAAAUGAUACAAAGAUUGGUGACUUGCUGUAAUGUUCAGAAAUGUAAAAUUUUGGACCUCACAAAAUGUUGGGAAUCGGGCAGCUCAUACAAAUACCUGUGUGUAACAAUUUGUAGCGAUAUGAAAUGAAAUGAUCAUGUAGGCUCAGUCGUUAGUAAAGUAGUUGACAGACAGUGUUCAUAGGUAGAAUAGUAGGGAAAUGCAGUCAAUCUACAAAGAGAUUGCAUACUAACCACGUCUGAGACCCAUCCUAGAAUGUUGCCCAGAUGGGUGGGACCCAUACCACCAUACCAAAUAAGACUAACAAGGGAUAUUGGACAUAUACAGUGAAGGGCAGCACAAAUGGUCACGGGUUUGUUUGACCUGUAGGAGAGUGUCACAGAGAUGAUGAAAGAACUAAGCUGCCAGACACCUGAAAUAGAUGUAAACUAUCCUGAGGAAGCCUGCUUACAAAGUUUAAAGAACUGGCUUAAAAUGAUGAGUUAAGGAAUGUACUACAACGCCCUGCACAUCACUCCCGCAGGAACCGCAGAACAAACUUAGACCAAUUAUAGUCACCACAGAGGCAUUUAAGUAGUUAUAAUUCCCUUGCUCCAAACAUGAAUGGAACAGAAAAGAGUCCUAAUAACUGGUCUAGGAGACUAUCCUCUGCCAUGUGCUUCACAGUGGUUUGCAGAGUGUAGAUGUAGAUGUAGAACUCAGUCCAACCGAGGACAGAAGAGCAGAGCAGGGGAGUAAGCCAUACCACCCUCUCACAGUGCUGGCAGCCUACGUGUAUUUAUUUAUCUUUAUAUGUUUAUUCAUUUACGUUUUCCCUAUGUGGAACAAACUAAAUAAUGGCUUUUGCAAACAUCAGAAGUAAUAGUAUGACAAUAAUUACAAUUAUGAAAUAUGUUACAUACAAUUGCAUCUUGUAUGUUUAACACUUUUAUCAUUUAUCAUAUGCUGCUAGUUCAUGUCACAAACAGUGCCAUGAAAUUUAUUGACUGAAUGUAAACAUUUUUCUGUCUGAAAAAUUUUAAUUUUGUGUUACAAUAAAUCCCCUUAUUUGUUCUUAGUGUUUGGCAGUUUGUUCAGCUGGAUAAAACUGUUGAUGUAAGGGCUUUUAUCUGUCAUUGUUAAUUGUGUUCUUUUCCAAAAGUACCUGUAGUUUUGCUGAUGAUGUGAUCAUGUACAUCAAUCCAAUAAGUUCAGUUGGUUGUCUCAUAAAAAUGUAAAAGUUUAAUGAAUAUAUUGUUAAGACUACCAACUUUUAGCUUUAGGAGGAAGAAGUCCUUGUUCUGAAGAUGGGCUUUUUUGUCCAAAAACUCCACUAAGCACCUCAUGUAUGCGGUGAGUAACAAUCUUUAUAUUGUUAUUUCAUCAGGGACAUCCUGUUGUUUGAAUAUAUUGUUAACUAGUUGUGCUGCACAAAGAGAACUCAACAUAGUUGUCUAUGGCCUAUCCUAUGUUUUAAGACUUUCUGCCCAAGUAUUGGUUGGGCCACAAUUUUCUCAAUGCCUCAACACCCGAUUACAUGAAAACUGGAUUCAUGUCACAUGGGGACAAUAUGCAGACAUCUUGCUAUCCACCCCUUGACUGGUGCUGCCUUCUGUUGUCAAUUUCAGGAAUUAUUUAUAAAGGAACAUUAGUGAACAUAACAGCUGCUGUCAUGACUGGCUGAACCAAUAUAAUCGCAUUGACGUAAUUUUGUGUGUGUACUAAUUAGGGUUUGUAAUUUGCUGUAAUUCUGCUACAAAUAUGUCAUUUUUUGAGUGAGCAAGAAAUUUUGGAAGCUCAAGAGGAACGAAUUGCUCAUUAAGUCACCUCAUACUUUUUUUCUUACAAGGGUAAUUAUACUUUCUGCCAUCAUUAUUUUAACAUUUGUUAUUUAUCAAAGAGCUAUUGUAAAUAUGCAAAAUAAAUUUUGAAGCUUAUAUCUGUUUUAGUGUGUAUUACUCUUGAAGAUACAUCAAUUACAUAUGUGCCAGUAACUCUUUAAAUAAGGGCAUAAAUGGCUAGGUUCUUAGGCUCCAAUAUUCUUCUGAGUGUCAGGUCUUCAAAGUGUUAAGAAAUUGAUACAUUUUUUCAUAGUAUAGUAUUUUUAAUACUUGAUUAGGAGCUAUCUUUAUGAGCUGGCUAAAGAUAUUUAAGUCACUGCUGACUUUUCCACAAGCAAAAUUAAAGCAGUUUUCCACCACAAAAUUUCAUUUAUGUCCACAGAUGUUACUUUUGGUUGUCGAGAUGUGACACUCAUUAUUUACAUUGGUGUGGUGAGAACUGCCUUUUUUAAAUUCCAAUAAUUGAGUUUGGUGACAUUCACGUCGAGUCCCUGAUUCUUAAAAGUAUUUAGUUAAUUCCUGUUACCUCAGUAGUAGCAAAAAAUCCGAGCUCUGUAUCUUCUCUACCAUAGAACAAUAUUGAGGUGUCAUCUACAUAUCUCCUAACGUGGGAGUGAACAGGUAGUGCAUUAUUGUUGAUAUACAGGGUGACCCGAAAGUCUGUUAACUUUUGAAAAUUCACAGAUUCGUGGAAUAAUGUAGGUAGACGGUGAAAAUUAACACAGGUGCUUGAAAUGACAUGGGGUUUUAUUGAAACCAGAAAUGAGUGCAAAGCCUAGCCAACAGAUGGCACUAGACAGCACCAUGUCAGUAAUGCGAAAUGAGAUUUGUGUAAAAAUGAGCUAGAGAGAGAGAGAGAGAGAGAGAGAGAGAGAGAGAGAGAGAGAGAGAGAGAGAGAGAUGUGUCACCAAUCGCGGCAUAUUGAUUUUACUGGAAAAGGUACCGUUAAUGUAGACAUCUUGGAUAUUCGGGAAUCCAGCCGGAUGUUUGCGUCGUUCUCGCAUGAUAUUUCAACAACGUGCCUGGCUGUCUUCUUCAGGUGCUACCUGAGACUGGUCCUUGGGUCGAUAGAGUCCAUUAUUUAUGCCUGGGAGGAGCUGGGCGUUCCCUAAUCGGUCCGCGCCGAGUCGAGUGUUCCAUCUGUGGUCCAUGUCUGCCAGACUCGGCUUCAACGGACCCCUCCAGUCGCGGAUGUUCCGACUGCCGUUGGCACCCGUUUUGGCCGUCCUCAAUGGUUGUGGUUGUCAUCUGAGGUGUGUCAGACCCGAUCUGAGAUGUUGGGUACUCUAUCUCAUGGCUGUUACUAUGAUUUCCACUUCUGUUUCCUGCUGGGUGCUCCCUAAUCGGUCUGUGCCGCAUCGUGUUCCGUCUGAGGUCCGCGCCCACCAGACGCAGCUACAUUGUCCCUCUCUGGUCGCUGGUGUUCCCUCCACCGUCCUCGCCCGGCCUGGCCGUCUUCUGAAGUCGAGUUCAUGAUCUGGGGUGUGUCAGAUCUGGUCUCUAAUGUCCGAUACCUUGUCUCACGGCUGUUCUGUCGGUCUCCAAUUCUAUUUCUUGUGGAAUCCCGGAGUGUCCUGCGUUGAGUUUUCACAAGCUCAAGCGCUGGAUUGCAGGCAGUGCUGAUUUGGUAUCCCGAAUCAUGGUUGAUUAGAUUGUCUGUGACCUUAAUCUCAAUGGCUGCUGUUCAAAUGGGUAAACUCCCUGUGACAAGUGUAUCUGUGAAGAAAAUGAUCAAAAAGUUUGAAGUCACAGAUCAUUUACAGAUGAUUGGCCCCGUAGUGUGUGACCAGAUACAAGUGCUGCUCCUUCUGGGACAGUUCAGGAAUAAAUGGAAACUUUAGCAGGUUCAUGUCUACAUGGUGAAGUCAGCGCCUCAUGAAGUUGCAUAUCACACCAGCAUUCCACCCACAUCUAUUUGGAGAACACUAAGGCGUACCCUCCAAUGCUAUACACACAAAAUACAGUGUCAUUAUGAACUGUUAGUCACUGAUUAUGUGAUACAGAGAUAAUUUGCAUUGUGGGCACUUCAAAAAAGUGGGGGAAGAUAAUGAUAGGUUCUCCAAUGUGUUGUGGACCAACAGAGCCUAUUUCGCACUCUUGAGGUUCUGUUAGCAUCCACAACUGCAGAAUGUGGACUACUACAGCUCCUUAAACCAUCAUGGAAACGCCAUUGCAUGACAAGAAAGUCGCAGAGUGGUGUGGAUUCACCACAUCAAUUGUGACUGGACACUUUUCCUUUGAGGAAAUGCAAGGUGCUGCUUUUCAAACUGUCAGCAUGACGGAUGUGAAGUAUGCUGAAAUGUUACAGAAUCGCAUUAUCCCUAGUAUGGCUGAUAAAAACCUGCUGGAAGGUAUGACUUUUAUACAGGAUGGUGCUGCACUCGAUACUGCUUCUGUUUCUGUGGGUUGCACCUGAUCAGAAAAACAGUGCAAGUACUAUUUGUACUUGGUGAAGAAAGUGAACAAAAUUUCCAGCCAGGGGAAAAGUGCUUUGGAAAGUCUUAGUGAGAACGUAAAUCACCAAAGUUUCAGUGCAAGUUUGCAAAGUCGCUGCCACUGGGUACAUUUAUGCAAUAUUCCUAAAUUUCAACAACAAAUUUUGACACAGUCAAUCAAUUGCACAUCACUCCAAUGUAUUUUUAUGAAUAUCUUUUAACAACUUUAUAAUUUUUUAAAUCCUUUAUUUUAAUAUGUCUGUAAGUUUGUUUGAAAUGUCAAAAAUUAUUAUUAAAUAUAAAACCUGUAAAAUAUAUUGUCUAAAAUGCAACAUUAUUUCAUAA
rnacentral:lncRNA from 1 species